rnacentral:rRNA from 1 species
GUGCCAGCAGCCGCGGUAAGACAGAGGUGCCAAGCGUUAGGCGGAAUCACUGGGCUUAAAGCGUGUGUAGGCGGAUGCCUAAGUACCUUGUGAAAUCCCACGGCUCAACCGUGGAACUGCUUGGUAUACUGGGUGUCUUGAGCCAUCUAGGGGCUACCGGAACAAAUGGUGGAGCGGUGAAAUGCGUAGAUAUCAUUUGGAACGCCAAUGGUGAAAACAGGUAGCUGGGGAUGUGCUGACGCUGAGACACGAAAGCCAGGGGAGCAAACGGGAUUAGAUACCCCGGUAGUCCUGGCUGUAAACGAUGUCGACUAGAUCGUAGUGCCUCUGACGGUAUUACGGUCGAAGCAAAAGUGCUAAGUCGACCGCCUGGGAAGUACGGUCGCAAGGCUAAAACUCAAAGGAAUUGACGG